rnacentral:rRNA from 1 species
GAACUGCUCCAUGUAAAAUAAAUAGCCGCAGUAAUUUCACUGUGCUAAGGUAGCAUAAUCAUUUGCCUUUUAAUUGAAGGCUAGAAUGAAAGAUUUAACUUUUUAAUUUCUUUUUUUAACUAUUAUAUUAAAUUUAUAUUAAGAAUAAAAAUAUUCUUAUAAUUUAAAAAGACGACAAGACCCUAUUGAACUUUACUAAAGUUUAGCUGGGGAAGCUAAUUAAAUAUAAUUUUAAUUUCUUUAUAAAAAGAAAAAUCCAUUAAAAAUGAUUUAACAAGUUACCAUAGGGAUAACAGCAUAAUAUUUUUUAAAAGCUCUUAUUUAAAAAAAAGUUUAUGACCUCGAUGUUGAAUUAAUUUUACUUUAAAACGCAAUUGUAUUAAAAGUAGGUCUGUUCGACCUUUAAAUUAUUACAUGAUCUGAGUCAAAACCGG